AGAGUUUGAUCCUGGCUCAGGAUGAACGCUGACAGAAUGCUUAACACAUGCAAGUCAUUGGCGAAGCUGCGCUUGCGCAGUCUAGCCAAGGCGGACGGGUGAGUAACGCGUAAGGAACUUGCCCUGCAGACAGGGAUAACAGACGGAAACGACUGAUAACACCUGGUAUUGUCAGGCUGGCGCAUGCCGGCCUGAUGAAAGGAGACGCUGCAGGAGAGCCUUGCGUCCUAUUAGCUAGUUGGUGGGGUAACGGCCCACCAAGGCGAUGAUAGGUAGCCGGCCUGAGAGGGUGGACGGCCACAAGGGGACUGAGAUACGGCCCUUACUCCUACGGGAGGCAGCAGUGGGGAAUAUUGGACAAUGGGGGCAACCCUGAUCCAGCAAUUCUGUGUGCACGAAGAAGGUUUUCGGAUUGUAAAGUGCUUUCAGCAGGGAAGAAGAAAGUGACGGUACCUGCAGAAGAAGCGACGGCUAAAUACGUGCCAGCAGCCGCGGUAAUACGUAUGUCGCAAGCGUUAUCCGGAAUUAUUGGGCAUAAAGGGCAUCUAGGCGGCCCUGUAAGUCUAGGGUGAAAACCUGCGGCUCAACCGCAGGCCUGCCCCGGAAACUACAGGGCUAGAGUAUCGGAGAGGUGGACGGAACUGCACGAGUAGAGGUGAAAUUCGUAGAUAUGUGCAGGAAUGCCGAUGAUGAAGAUAGUUCACUGGACGGUAACUGACGCUGAAGUGCGAAAGCUAGGGGAGCAAACAGGAUUAGAUACCCUGGUAGUCCUAGCUGUAAACGAUGAUUACUGGGUGUGGGCAUGAAGAGUGUCCGUGCCGAAGCAAAUGCGAUAAGUAAUCCGCCUGGGGAGUACGGCCGCAAGGCUGAAACUCAAAGGAAUUGACGGGGACCCG
rnacentral:rRNA from 1 species